rnacentral:rRNA from 1 species
UACGUAGGGGGCAAGCGUUGUCCGGAAUCAUUGGGCGUAAAGCGCGUGUAGGCGGUCCGGUAAGUCCGCUGUGAAAGUCCAGGGCUCAACCCUGGGAUGCCGGUGGAUACUGUCGGGCUAGAGUGCGGAAGAGGCGAGUGGAAUUCCUGGUGUAGCGGUGAAAUGCGUAGAUAUCAGGAGGAAUACCGAUGGCGAAGGCAGGUCUCUGGGCCACUACUGACGCUGAGAAGCGAAAGCAUGGGGAGCGAACAGG